UAAGAAUUAGAAAAUAGAUCCAAAAAAAAAUUCACCCUUCUCCUCUUUCUUUCGCUCUCUCUCCACGCAUACUCUCUCCUUCACUGUAAGAGAUUUCACAACUCUCAUACUCCCUCCGUUCAACCACCGUGCCAUCACCGAGAUAGCUCCGGCGACUCCACCGUGAUGCAAGUAGGCCACUCUGUUAACCCCAAGUCCCAAUUUUCAUUAGCUCUUCUCAAUUUCAGAAAUUGAGUUGUCAAACCCACUUCCAAAAUAGUUGAAAUUAGAGGUGAACUGAGUGCAAGCACAAGCGAUAGGGGAAAUGGCCAGAUCCAUGGUUGACUAAGCAAGUAAUAGAGUUUUUGUGACGUGUACAGAGUACAGAAGCGAGUGAACUCGCUAGUUGGCAGCAGCACGUGUCAAGUCACUACCUCCCUUUUUGCUAGUGGAGUUGUAUAUAUCUAUCGAAACAGGUGAAGAAACCACCAUCGUUGUCGAUAAUGUUUGCACAUAACCAAUUUGUUGAGACAUUGAGUGAUAGUAGUUGAAGAGUGGAGUUCAUCUAUGACUAUGAUGCUUACAAAUGUGUGUAAAUCGAGCGUAGAAGGCGAUGGAUCCAGCGUGAGGUACGACCUACUCGUUCGUGGGCGUCUUUUGCAUGCCGUACAACCGCGUACAUAUAAUCGCCUAAUUGCUUACGCGGCUAAGAAUCGGGUCGCCAGCAACCCUACCAACACGGUUUUCGAUAUCAAUUUGGAUUUAAAUUAUACCUCUCUUCGAUUCCUCGUGGUGCGUUUUGUUUGUAAGAUCUCAUGUUGCUGCUGGAAUUUGAUAUUUGCAGUUCAAAUCACCAUUAAUUUCUGGUUAUAUAUUCCAGAUAAGGUAUAUUAUAGACUUGUCUAAUGUUGAACUUUUCCUGUUAAGAUGAGCCUGAUAAGUUUUCAUUGUCUUGUGUUGAUUUCAA